UAUAAAAUGGAGUUUUGAAGGAGCAGUGGAAAGAAUGGAUAUAUUUUUUUCCCCUUUGAGAAAGUGCUCUCAUUUUCUUUCGAGCUUUUGUUUAUUUUUAUUUUAGUCUUUUAAAUUUAGAUUUUAGUUUUUAACUACUUAAUACUAACAAUUUGAGAGUUGAGAUGAAGGAGAAAUAAGGCUUCUACUUCCAGAUUUACAGGUUGGGAUGAAGAGAGAUAAUUUUUAUAGAUGUAUUUUUAUACCCUUUCAUCUGUUUCCUCAUUUGUAACAUGAAGUAAUAAAAUAUGCCUCAUUUGCCUUGGAAAUUUUGUGGAUGAAUGAAUGACAGUUUAUUGUAGUGUCCUGCUAGUUGAAAGGUGACCCUUAAAAUUUUGAUGGAUUUUAACAACAGAUUUUAUGGUAAUAGUUUUUCUAUUAUUUGUCACAUUUGACACUUUUAAAAUUUGUUUAGGCUCGAAAGGACACAGAAGCGGGAGAAACGUUUUCAUCUGUCCAAGCCAAUUUAAGUAAAGCAGAAAAACAUAAAUAUCCUCAUAAAGUAAAAACAGCACAAGUUUCAGAUGAAAGAAAGAGCUACAGUCCUAGGAAGCAAAGUAAAUAUGAAAGUUCAAAAGAAUCUCAGCAACAUUCCAAGUCAUCAGCUGACAAAAUAGGAGAAGUCUCUUCUCCCAAGGCCAGUUCUAAGCUGGCAAUUAUGAAAAGAAAAGAAGAGAGCUCUUAUAAAGAAAUAGAGCCUGUGGCCUCAAAAA
rnacentral:lncRNA from 1 species